AAGUCGUAACAAGGUCUCCGUUGGUGAACCUGCGGUUGGAUCAUUAACAAAUUAUUUAGGCCCCUGGAUGCCCCAGAAGGGCGAAGGGGGGAAACCUAAACAUUUGUGUGCACUAUAUCUGUCCUUGGCAGUUCGAGUGUCCUGGGUUGCGUAACUGCCUCAGGUACCUACCGAUGCUUUAUCCUUGGGUAUUGCUGAAGUUGGGCUGCCGCCUUUUGAAUAAACCUUCUGUAUCUUUUUUUUGUCUGAAUUUGUUUGAUCUUUAUGAUUGAAUUUAAAUACAACUUUUGACAACGGAUCUCUUGGCUCUC
rnacentral:misc_RNA from 1 species